GAUGAACGCUGGCGGCGUGCCUAAUACAUGCCAGUCGAGCGAACAGACGAGGAGCUUGCUCCUCUGACGUUAGCGGCGGACGGGUGAGUAACACGUGGAUAACCUACCUAUAAGACUGGGAUAACUUCGGGAAACCGGAGCUAAUACCGGAUAAUAUAUUGAACCGCAUGGUUCAAUAGUGAAAGACGGUUUUGCUGUCACUUAUAGAUGGAUCCGCGCCGCAUUAGCUAGUUGGUAGGGUAACGGCUUACCAAGGCAACGAUGCGUAGCCGACCUGAGAGGGUGAUCGGCCACACUGGAACUGAGACACGGUCGAGACUCCUACGGGAGGCAGCAGUAGGGAAUCUUCCGCAAUGGGCGGAAGCAUGACGGAGCAACGCCGCGUGAGUGAUGAAGGUCGUCGGAUCGUAAAACUCUGUUAUUAGGGAAGAACAAAUGUGUAAGUAACUAUGCACGUCUUGACGGUACCUAAUCAGAAAGCCACGGCUAACUACGUG
rnacentral:rRNA from 1 species